rnacentral:rRNA from 1 species
UACAGAGGUCUCAAGCGUUGUUCGGAUUCAUUGGGCGUAAAGGGUGCGUAGGCGGCGCGGUAAGUCGGAUGUGAAAUCUCGGAGCUUAACUUCGAAACUGCAUUCGAUACUGCCGUGCUUGAGGACUGGAGAGGGAUGUGGAAUUCCAGGUGUAGCGGUGAAAUGCGUAGAUAUCUGGAGGAACACCGGUGGCGAAGGCGACAUCCUGGACCGGUAUUGACGCUGAGGCGCGAAAGCCAGGGGAGCAAACGGG